AUCGCUUUAUUUACAUUUAAUGAAGCGAUUUAAGAGAGGAUAUGAGAAAAGGAGGAAUGGAAACACGUGGCAGAAAGGCAGAUUUGAUAGAAAGAAUGUGAAGGCGUCCAGUCUCUGCUGUCUGACCCUAAAUUGGCUAAAAGUGGAAUGUAUAUGGCCCUCAAAGAUGUGUCAACAACUUCAGUCAUAACAUUGAGAUCUGCCUUGUAUCUGUGUUCAACAAAUAGAUGUGUACUUUAUGCAUAGACUUGCAGGUCAACUAGAACUUCAAACUGUAGAUAAAUGGCAAAGAAG